GACGAACGCUGGCGGCGUGCCUAAUACAUGCAAGUCGAACGCAGUGGGGACGGGUGAGUAACACGUGGGUAACCUCCCAUCAGAGGGGAUAACACUUGGCAACAGGUGCUAAACCGAUACUGAUGGAUGGACCCGCGGUGCAUUAGCUAGUUGGUGAGGUAACGGCUCACCAAGGCCACGAUGCAUAGCCGGCCUGGAGGGGUGGUCGGCCACACUGGGACGGGGGAACGGCCCAAGCUCCUUCGGGAAGCAACAGUUGGGAAUCUUCGGCAAUUGGGGGAACCCUGGACGAGGAACGCCGCGGGAGUGAAGGAGGUUUUCGGAUCGUAAAGGUCUGUUGUGAAGGGAGCGGUACUUAACCAGAAAGGGACGGCUAACUACGUGCCAGCAGCCGCGGUAAUUC
rnacentral:rRNA from 1 species